rnacentral:lncRNA from 1 species
GGCGCUCCUCCCUCUCCCUUUCACCCAUUGUCUUAACGGGCCAUAGACGAGUGCUCCGCGGCUUAGCAUAAUCGAAUCCGCCCAAUGUGAUCUUGGUCCGUAUAAACCGGAUGCAACCCGGAUAUAGACGAUCCAUGAAUCGGCGUGUGAGAACGUGAGUAGAUUACCUUGAAAACAACGGGCGGACAUCGUGGACGUAUUCUCCAGGUUUUAUUAUAUCUCAGUGGUGCAAACCUGCUUUAGGCACCGUUCUGAAUGUGUGACAUCUGGUAAAUAAGAACUUGAUAAUGAUAUGGGCGGAUAUUUUCUAUGAACUGGUAAAACGACAAUGCACUUCCCCCUCGUCAGUCUAAGACGUGAAUUGGUCCUGGAAACAUGGCUGCCUCCAUGUUCAACCAUUCUGACCUUUAGAAAACACCGGACAGUGAGUUUCCCCUAGGCGUGUGUGAAAUGUGUGUAAAAUCCACAACAAAGUAGGCUAAGGCUAAUGAAUAUGAAGGUAUAGGCUGUCAUAACAGAAUUAUACAUUUUGUUGAACUCCUCCAACGAACCUUAUUGUUCUUAGCAUCGAAUGGCGGAACAAUUCAUAGACUAACAAUUUAUAGCCACAAUCAACGUGCGACUUCCACAUUUGUCACGCCAUGAAAUAGCUGUGUAUACAUUAUCACUGUGUACAUGUUCACACUAUCGCCACUAGUAGCGCUGGUAAGAGGGCCUGUCCAUACGUCUAGGUGAAAGGUCUUUACAAUUACUCUUCAACAAAGUAUACAUUUUUUGUAAACCCAGGCACAAUGUUUCUCGGUAGUUUAUAGGCCUACAGACCACAGCUGUAAUCUACCGUAGAACGCAAACAUCGGAAAACACUAACAACUUUUAAGACGAGGUUAAAUCAGGUGGACUCCAAUCAAUGGAAACAGGAUGCACCUGAGGCCAAUUCCGAGUCUCGGGGCAAAGGGUCUGAAUACCUGUGUAAAUAAGGUAUUUCUGUUUUUUAUUUUUAAUACAUUUGAAAAAAUUCAAAAAAACGUUUUUUUGCCUUGUCAUUAUGGGGUAUUGUGUGUAGAUUGAUCAUACAUUUUUAUUUAUUUAAUCAAUUUUAGAAAAUGGCUGUAAAAAGUAAAGGGGUCUGAAUACUUUCCGAAUGCACUGUAUGUGUAAACCUAGCAAUAAUACAAAUAGGCCCUAUUAUACUUUUAAUUUAUUUUUAUUAUUUUACCUUUAUUUAACCAGGUGGCCAGUUGAGAACAACUUCUCAUUUACAACUGUGACCUGGCCAUGAUAAAGCAAAGCAGUGCGACAAAAACAACAACACAGAGUUACACAUGGGAUAAAACAAACGUACAGUCAAUAACACAAUAACAAAAAUCGAUAUAUAGUGUGUGCAAAUGUAGUAAGAUUAGGGAGGUAAGGCAAUAAAUAGGCCAUAGUGGUGAAAUAAUUACAGUUUAGCAUUAACGCUGGAGUGAUAGAUAUGCAGAUGAUGAUGUGCAAGUAGAGAUACUGGGGUGCAAAAGAGAAAGAAUAAAUAUCAAUUUCAAGCUUAAAGUUAGUGAGGGAGAUAUAAGUCUCCAGCUUCAGUGAGUUUUGCAAUUUGUUCCUGUCAUUGGCAGCAGAGAACUUGAAGGAAAGGCGGCCAAAGUAGGAGUUGGCUUUGGGGAUGACCAGUGAAAUAUACCUGCUGGAGUGCGUGCUACGGGUGGGUGUUGCAAUGGUGACCAGUGAGCUGAGAUAAGGCGGGGCUUUACCUAGCAAAGACUUAUAGAUGACCUGGAGCCAGUGGGAUUGGCGACGAAUAUGUAGCGAGGGCCAGCCGACGAGAGCAUACAGGUCGCAGUGGUGGGUAGUAUAUGGGGCUUUGGUGACAUAACGGAUGGCAGUAUGAUAGACUACAUCUAAUUUGUUGAGUAGAGUGUUGGAGGCUAUUUUGUAAAUGACAUUGCCGAAGUCAAGGAUCGGUAGGAUGGUAAGUUUUACGAGGGUAUGUUUGGCAGCGUGAGUGAAGGAGGCGUUGUUGCGAAAUAGGAAGCCAAUUCUAGAUUUAAUUUUGGAUUGGAGAUGCUUAAUGUGAGUCUGGAAGGAGAGUUUACAGUCUAACCAGACACCUAGGUAUUUGUAGUUGUCCACAUAUUCUAAGUCAGAACUGUCCAGAGUAGUGAUGCUAGUCGGGCGGGCGGGUGCCGGCAGCGAUUGGUUGAAGAGCAUGCAUUUAAGAGCAGUUGAAGACCACAGAAGGAGUGUUCUAUGGCAUUGAACCUCGUCUGGAGGUUUGUUAAAAAGAAGGGCCAGAAGUAUACAGAAUGGUGUCGUCUGCGUUGAGGUGGAUCAGAGAAUCACCAGCAGCAAGAGCGACAUCAUUGAUAUAUACAGAGAAAAGAGUCGGCCUGAGAAUUGAACCCUGUGGCACCCCCAGAGAGACUGCCGCAGAGGUCCGGACAACAGGCCCUCCAAUUUGACACACUGAACUCUAUCUGAGAAGAAGUUGGUGAACCAGGCGAGGCAGUCAUUUGAGAAACCAAGGCUGUUGAGUCUGCCAAUAAGAAUGCAGUGAUUGACUUCAAAAUUAAAAUCAAAUUUGCGGCGCCUCCCGAGUGGCGCAGCAGUCUAAGGCACUGGUUUCGAUCCCGGGCUGUAUCACAACUGGACGCGAUCAGGAGUCCCAUUGGGCGGCACACAAUUGGCCCAGCGUCAUUAGGGGAGGGUUUGGCCGGGGGGGCUUUACUUGGCUCAUUGCGCUCUAGCGACUCAUUGUGGCGGGCUGGGCACCUGCUGGCUGACCUCGGUUGUCAGUUGAACGGUGUUCUGACACAUUGGUGCGGCUAGCUUCUGGGUUAAGUGGGCAUUAAGAAGUGCGGUUUCGCGGGUCAUGUUUUGGAGGACUCAUGACUCGACCUUCACCACCUGAGCCCGUUGGGGAGUUGUAGCGAUGAGACAAGAUGAAAAUUGUGGAGAAAAAAUAAAUAAAAUAUUUGAAUAAUAAUAUGCUAGCCUAUACUUGUAACUUUGCAGGCCACAUGUGCUGCACCAGAAUCAUAUGUUCUUUCAGUUUUAUCAUGGUUUGAACAAUGUGCAUAAUUCCAGUCCAUAUAGUACAGUAUAAUACAACACAGUAAUACAGUUCACACUUGUUACAUUCCCCAGUUUCUGUGUUGUGGGUUUGUAUGUAUGUGUAUAUGUUUCAGGAUGGCUUCCUGGAUUCCAAGCAGCUGAUUGGUCUGCCCCAUUGCAGAUUAGAGCUCUGACCCCGCCCUCUCGUCAGCGGAUACAGCUGUCUGCAAUUACCGACUCCUUCUGCAGCUUAAAAAGCCAGUGUUCCUUUGCCAGUUGGAGAGAGAGCUUUUUUUUUUUUUGUAUUAUUUUUUAUAUUUUUAUAUAUAUAUUUUUUUUUAAAUUAUUUUUUUUGCUGUGUUUUUGUGUGUAUUUGCUGUGUUGGUCUGGUAAAGUAUUUUGUAGCCGGUCCUCCAGAGGUAUGUGUUUGCUAUAGUACCUAGUGUUUUUGGUUUAUUCAAAUUGUUCACUGAGUUUGGUGACUUAUUCGGUUUCAUUUGUUCCUGGGGGGGGAAGGGGAAGGCACCUUGGGAGUGUUUAGGCAAGAGGCCUGCGGGCAUACAUAUACCCGUAGUAUGUACUCUGUCUAUGCACACUAGGUAAGACUUGGGUGGACCACCCCUUGUAUUUUGGUUAGCGCGCCAGGUGGUGUUAAGAAUAGGUAGGUAGGAGAGGAGGCUCCUUAACUUUACUUUCAUUGCUUUGGUUCUGUCCAGCCCCAUUUCCCUACAUUUACUGUGUUAAGGAAAUAAAUUCCCUGUUAAUGGUAAUAUUCUCUGCCUCUGUCAUCCUUACCCGCACCAACAAUCACACACCUUUCACUCCACAGG